ACAGCGGCGAAAGGGUGAGUAACGCGUAGUUACCUGCCCCAGGGUCCGGAAUAGCCUCGGGAAACUGAGGGUAAUGCCGGAUAAUAUCCCCGGAUCAAAGGUGAGAUUCCGCCCUGGGAGGGGACUGCGUACUACUAGCUUGUUGGUGGGGUAAAGGCCUACCAAGGCUACGAUGGUUAGCGGGCGUGAGAGCGUGGCCCGUCACACUGGGACUGAGACACUGCCCAGACACCUACGGGUGGCUGCAGUCGAGAAUCUUCCUCAAUGGGCGAAAGCCUGAAGGAGCAAUGCCGCGUGCGGGAUGAAGGCCCUCGGGUUGUAAACCGCGAAAGUAAGGAGGAAGGUCCGCCGAAGAGGCGGAUUUGACCGAUUUACAGUAAGGACGGGCUAAGUUCGUGCCAGCAGCCGCGGUAAGACGAACCGUCCAAACGUUAUUCGGAAUUAUUGGGCUUAAAGGGUGCGUAGGCGGCGCUGUAAGUCAGGUGUGAAAUCCCACGGCUCAACCGUGGAACUGCGCUUGAUACUGCCGUGCUUGAGGGAGACAGAGGUAAGCGGAACUGAUGGUGGAGCGGUGAAAUGCGUUGAUAUCAUCAGGAACACCAGUGGCGAAAGCGGCUUACUGGGUCUCUUCUGACGCUGA
rnacentral:rRNA from 2 species